GACGAACGCUGGCGGCGUGCUUAACACAUGCAAGUCGAACGAGAAUCUGUGGAUCGAGGAUUCGUCCAAGUGAAGCAGAGGACAGUGGCGGACGGGUGAGUAACGCGUGAGGAACCUGCCUUUCAGAGGGGGACAACAGUUGGAAACGACUGCUAAUACCGCAUAAGCCCACGGCUCGGCAUCGAGCAGAGGGAAAAGGAGCAAUCCGCUUUGAGAUGGCCUCGCGUCCGAUUAGCUAGUUGGUGAGGUAAUGGCCCACCAAGGCGACGAUCGGUAGCCGGACUGAGAGGUUGAACGGCCACAUUGGGACUGAGACACGGCCCAGACUCCUACGGGAGGCAGCAGUGGGGAAUAUUGCACAAUGGGGGAAACCCUGAUGCAGCGACGCCGCGUGGAGGAAGAAGGUCUUCGGAUUGUAAACUCCUGUUCUUAAGUGAAGAAUAAUGACGUAGCUAAGGAGCAAGGCCACGGGCUAAACUACGUGCCAGCAGCCG
rnacentral:rRNA from 1 species